AACCCAGUGUGACUCGUCACACUAUCAUUAACUGAAUCCAUAGGUUAAUGAGGCGAACCGGGGGAACUGAAACAUCUAAGUACCCCGAGGAAAAGAAAUCAACCGAGAUUCCCCCAGUAGCGGCGAGCGAACGGGGAGGAGCCCAGAGCCUGAAUCAGCAUGUGUGUUAGUGGAAGCGUCUGGAAAGGCGCGCGAUACAGGGUGACAGCCCCGUACACAAAAGCGCAUGUGCUGUGAGCUCGAUGAGUAGGGCGGGACACGUGGUAUCCUGUCUGAAUAUGGGGGGACCAUCCUCCAAGGCUAAAUACUCCUGACUGACCGAUAGUGAACCAGUACCGUGAGGGAAAGGCGAAAAGAACCCCGGCGAGGGGAGUGAAAAAGAACCUGAAACCGUGUACGUACAAGCAGUGGGAGCCCCACCACCAAAGCAUUUGCUGUACCGCGUUGACGGAGCGAAGCGACGUCAAACCGAUAAAACAGCAGUGUAAAGUGAGCCGCAGGGCGCUUUGCGCGACAGCGCAAAGGCAGGCGGUUUCGCGUAGCGAAAGCGAAUGCUUUGGGGUGGGGUGACUGCGUACCUUUUGUAUAAUGGGUCAGCGACUUAUAUUCUGUAGCAAGGUUAACCGAAUAGGGGAGCCGGAGGGAAACCGAGUCUUAAUUGGGCGUUAAGUUGCAGGGUAUAGACCCGAAACCCGGUGAUCUAGCCAUGGGCAGGUUGAAGGUUGGGUAACACUAACUGGAGGACCGAACCGACUAAUGUUGAAAAAUUAGCGGAUGACCUGUGGCUGGGGGUGAAAGGCCAAUCAAACCGGGAGAUAGCUGGUUCUCCCCGAAAGCUAUUUAGGUAGCGCCUCGUGAAUUCAUCUCCGGGGGUAGAGCACUGUUUCGGCUAGGGGGCCAUCCCGGCUUACCAACCCGAUGCAAACUGCGAAUACCGGAGAAUGUUAUCACGGGAGACACACGGCGGGUGCUAACGUCCGUCGUGAAGAGGGAAACAACCCAGACCGCCAGCUAAGGUCCCAAAGUCAUGGUUAAGUGGGAAACGAUGUGGGAAGGCCCAGACAGCCAGGAUGUUGGCUUAGAAGCAGCCAUCAUUUAAAGAAAGCGUAAUAGCUCACUGGUCGAGUCGGCCUGCGCGGAAGAUGUAACGGGGCUAAACCAUGCACCGAAGCUGCGGCAGCGACACUGUGUGUUGUUGGGUAGGGGAGCGUUCUGUAAGCCUGUGAAGGUGUGUCGUGAGGCAUGCUGGAGGUAUCAGAAGUGCGAAUGCUGACAUAAGUAACGAUAAAGCGGGUGAAAAGCCCGCUCGCCGGAAGACCAAGGGUUCCUGUCCAACGUUAAUCGGGGCAGGGUGAGUCGACCCCUAAGGCGAGGCCGAAAGGCGUAGUCGAUGGGAAACGGGUUAAUAUUCCCGUACUUGGUGUUACUGCGAAGGGGGGACGGAGAAGGCUAUGUUGGCCGGGCGACGGUUGUCCCGGUUUAAGCGUGUAGGUGUGUGUUCUAGGUAAAUCCGGUUCACUUUAACACUGAGGCGUGACGACGAGGCACUACGGUGCUGAAGCAACAAAUGCCCUGCUUCCAGGAAAAGCCUCUAAGCAUCAGGUAACAUCAAAUCGUACCCCAAACCGACACAGGUGGUCAGGUAGAGAAUACCAAGGCGCUUGAGAGAACUCGGGUGAAGGAACUAGGCAAAAUGGUGCCGUAACUUCGGGAGAAGGCACGCUGACACGUAGGUGAAGUGAUUUACUCAUGGAGCUGAAGUCAGUCGAAGAUACCAGCUGGCUGCAACUGUUUAUUAAAAACACAGCACUGUGCAAACACGAAAGUGGACGUAUACGGUGUGACGCCUGCCCGGUGCCGGAAGGUUAAUUGAUGGGGUCAGCGCAAGCGAAGCUCCUGAUCGAAGCCCCGGUAAACGGCGGCCGUAACUAUAACGGUCCUAAGGUAGCGAAAUUCCUUGUCGGGUAAGUUCCGACCUGCACGAAUGGCGUAAUGAUGGCCAGGCUGUCUCCACCCGAGACUCAGUGAAAUUGAACUCGCUGUGAAGAUGCAGUGUACCCGCGGCAAGACGGAAAGACCCCGUGAACCUUUACUAUAGCUUGACACUGAACAUUGAGCCUUGAUGUGUAGGAUAGGUGGGAGGCUUUGAAGUGUGGACGCCAGUCUGCAUGGAGCCGACCUUGAAAUACCACCCUUUAAUGUUUGAUGUUCUAACGUGGACCCGUUACCCGGGUUGCGGACAGUGUCUGGUGGGUAGUUUGACUGGGGCGGUCUCCUCC
rnacentral:rRNA from 1 species